rnacentral:rRNA from 1 species
GCACUUUAAGCAGUGAAGAAGACUCUUCGGUUAAUACCCGGAGACGAUGACAUUAGCUGCAGAAUAAGCACCGGCUAACUCUGUGCCAGCAGCCGCGGUAAUACAGAGGGUGCAAGCGUUAAUCGGAAUUACUGGGCGUAAAGGGAGCGUAGGUGGCUCUAUAAGUCAGAUGUGAAAUCCCCGGGCUUAACCUGGGAACUGCAUCUGAAACUGUAGAGCUAGAGUAUGUGAGAGGGAGGUAGAAUUUCAGGUGUAGCGGUGAAAUGCGUAGAGAUCUGAAGGAAUACCGAUGGCGAAGGCAGCCUCCUGGCAUAAUACUGACACUGAGGCUCGAAAGCGUGGGUAGCAAACAGGAUUAGAUACCCUGGUAGUCCACGCCGUAAACGAUGUCUACUAGUCGUUGG